GAUGAACGCUAGCGGCAGGCUUAAUACAUGCAAGUCGAGGGGCAGCGCGGGUAGCAAUACCUGGCGGCGACCGGCAAACGGGUGCGGAACACGUACAGAACCUUCCUUUAAGCGGGGGAUAGCCCAUAGAAAUGUGGAUUAAUACCCCAUAGUAAUACUAGCUGGCAUCAGUUGGUAUUUAAAGAUUUAUCACUUAAAGAUGGCUGUGCGGCUGAUUAGGUAGUUGGUCGGGGUAACGGCCCACCAAGCCAUCGAUCAGUAACUGGUGUGAGAGCACGACCAGUCACACGGGCACUGAGACACGGGCCCGACUCCUACGGGAGGCAGCAGUAAGGAAUAUUGGUCAAUGGACGCGAGUCUGAACCAGCCAUGCCGCGUGAAGGAUGAAGGCCCUCUGGGUUGUAAACUUCUUUU
rnacentral:rRNA from 1 species